rnacentral:rRNA from 1 species
GGGGGGCGUGCUAACUGCAAGUCGAACGGUGCAGCAAUGCACAGUGGCGAACGGCGGAGUAAUACAUGAACAACGUGCCCUAAAGACUGGGAUAGUCAGGGGAAACCCUGGGUAAUACCGGAUGUGGCCGCUUCUCGGCAUCGAGAGGCGAUUAAAUGGUUUUUCGCUUUAGGAGCGGUUCAUGGCCUAUCAGGUAGUUGGUGAGGUAAUGGCUCACCAAGCCGACGACGGGUAGCGGGUCUGAGAGGAUGAUCCGCUCGAGUGGGACUGAGACACGGCCCACACACCUACGGGUAGCAGCAGUUGGGAAUCUUGCACAAUGGGGGAAACCCUGAUGCAGCGACGCCGCGUGGAGGAUGAAGGAUCUAGGUCUGUAAACUCCUUUUUCAGGGAAAGACUUAGGACGGUACCCUGAGAAUAAGGACCGGCUAACUACGUGCCAGCAGCCGCGGUAAGACGUAGGGUCCAAGCGUUGUCCGGAUUUACUGGGCGUAAAGAGCGCGUAGGCGGCUCGUUAAGUGUGAAGUGAAAUCUCCAGGGCUCAACCCGGAAACUGCUUCGCAUACUGGCGAGCUGGAGUGAUGCAGAGGUUUGUGGAAUUCCUGGUGUAACGGUGAAAUGUGUUGAUAUCAGGAGGAACACCCAUGGCGAAGGCAGCAAACUGGGCAUCAACUGACGCUGAGGCGCGAAAGCGUGGGUAGCAAACAGGAUUAGAUACCCUGGUAGUCCACACCCUAAACGAUGGAUACUAGGCGUAAGAGGUAUCGACCCCUCUUGUG